UACGGGGGGGGCAAGCGUUGUUCGGAAUUACUGGGCGUAAAGGGCUCGUAGGCGGCCAACUAAGUCGGACGUGAAAUCCCGCGGCUUAACCGUGGAACUGCCUCAGAUACUGAUGGCCUCGAGGGAGAUAGGGGCGAGCGGAACUAAUGGUGGAGCGGUGAAAUGCGUUGAUAUCAUUAGGAACUCCGGUGGCGAAGGCGGCUCGCUGGGUCUCUUCUGACGCUGAUGCGCGAAAGCUAGGGGAGCAAACGGG
rnacentral:rRNA from 1 species